rnacentral:rRNA from 1 species
UACAGGGGGUGCAAACGUUGCUCGGAAUCAUUGGGCGUAAAGCGCACGUAGGCGGUUCGUUAUGUCGGAUGUGAAAGCCCCUUGGCUUAACCGAGGAAGUGCAUCCGAAACUGGCGAGCUAGAGUACGAAAAGAGGAUCGCGGAAUUCCCGGUGUAGAGGUGAAAUUCGUAGAUAUCGGGAGGAACACCAGUGGCGAAGGCGGCGACCUGGACGGACACUGACGCUGAGACGCGAAAGCGUGGGGAGCAAACAGG